rnacentral:lncRNA from 1 species
UAUAUGAAGAUUGCAGGCUCAGGAAAGCUCCCUUCAGAUUUUACAAUGUAUGGGCUAAUCAUUAAGAUUUUCAAUGCAUUGUAAAGGAGAACUGGAAGUCUAAUGAUCAAGCUACUCUCGGGGAGAUAUGGCAGAAUCUCAAAGCACUCAAGCCUGUCCUUAAACCUCUAAAUACUAGAGAAUUUAAGUACAUUACACAAAGAAUUGUAGAUAGCAGGGUGGAGCUGA